rnacentral:rRNA from 1 species
GAUGAACGCUGGCGGCGUGCCUAAUACAUGCAAGUCGAGCGAACGGACGAGAAGCUUGCUUCUCUGAUGUUAGCGGCGGACGGGUGAGUAACACGUGGAUAACCUACCUAUAAGACUGGGAUAACUUCGGGAAACCGGAGCUAAUACCGGAUGAUAUUUUGAACCGCAUGGUUCAAAAGUGAAAGACGGUCUUGCUGUCACUUAUAGAUGGAUCCGCGCUGCAUUAGCUAGUUGGUAAGGUAACGGCUUACCAAGGCAACGAUGCAUAGCCGACCUGAGAGGGGGAUCGGCCCAACUGGAACUGGGACACGGGCCAGACCCCUUAGGGAGGCAAGAGUAGGGAAUCUUCCGCAAUGGGCGAAAGCCUGACGGAGCAACGCCGCGUGAGUGAUGAAGGUCUUCGGAUCGUAAAACUCUGUUAUUAGGGAAGAACAUAUGUGUAAGUAACUGUGCACAUCUUGACGGUACCUAAUCAGAAAGCCACGGCUAACUACGUG